AAAGACAGGGGAAACCUUAAUUAAAAACAUUUCUUCCCAUGGAAGCACAUAACUUUACAUGCCUCUGCUUCAUUGGCAUACAUUCAUUUUUAUUUUUUUUCAUUAACCAUUUGAUGUGUAUUUACCCUGUGCAAAUCACUGCCUUCAGUGUGCUAGAGGGCUAAAAAAAAAUGAAUUAGAAAUGUUCUCUACCCUCAAAGAACCGUAGACUCUAAUGAAAGAGACAGGCAGUUCUUAACUUUUCUUGAUGAGUCAGAAGACAGCCAGAGCCAGGCCUCAUCCCAUGAGUUAACCCGGAUUUGCAUAAUUACAAGAAGUGAGUUGUAAAUCCAUUUCUAUCAUUUCCUUCAAGAAAGCAUAUGAGAAUGCAAGUGCGUGAGAGGGAUGCAAAUUUAGGAUUAAUGUGGUAUAUGUGUUAAUUCCUAUUAUAUAAAGGAGCAUCCUCUGUACUUAACCAGCCUCAGAGCACUUAUGAAACGCUGCACAAUUGAUGACAACACACAUGAGAAUCAUGAUUUGGCUGGUUGAUGCAAAGGACUGAGAAAGAGCUGAGUGAAUGGAAGGAGUGAGGAGUGCGGGAUGAGGAAAUUAAUCAAACUCAAGAUCACAAACUGCAACACUGGAGGUGCUGGUGGACAUGAUCAAGAAGCAUGGUGCCCCAGGUGCCCAUGGUAAUGUCAUCUUUUCACCAUUGUGGGAGCCAGCCUGAGUUGAAACUGAACUGAAAUCACAGACAAGGUACUAAACUGCCACAUACAGCCUCAAGAGUCCAUCCUACACUUGACUCUUUAUAUGAUAAUAUAAAACAUGUGAGAGAGAUAUAUAUAUAUGAUAAUAAAAGAUAAAUGUCUUCAUUGUUUGUCAUUUCAAUUUGGGCUCUUCUGUUUGUUUCUGUUUCAUUUAUCUAUCUGUAGGUAAAACAUCUUAAGAGACAUAAUUAUUUUCCGGUUCUAAAAGCAAUGGUCAUUCAUUUAGAAAAUGUAGAAAAGAGAGAAAAGCACAAAAAUUUAAUAAUUACACCACCCAAAGACUAUAACUGUAAACUUUUAAUUAUGACUUUCUGAUCUUUUUCUAUGUGUGGAUAUAUGUACUUUUGAAACUCAGGACAAUAAUGCACAUAAUACUGAAUAUUUUGUUUUAUUCAACUAAUGAUAUAAAAUGAAUCCAAGAGAAAUUUUUCUUCUCUAAUCUAAUUUUAAUAUUUGCAUAUUAUUUUCUUGUACGGUUGUAGUUUAUGUUCCCUAUUUUUGGAUAUUUGGAGGUAUUUUAAUUUUCCCAUACUAUAAAUAAUGCCAGAAGAAUAUUACAGUGUAUAUAUUUUACACAUAUUUAGUUGGCUUCUUAGAAUAUGUAUUUACAAGUGGAGUUUGAUCAAAAGAUGUGAAAAUACUAAAAGAUUUGUAUGGAUACUUACACAUUUUUGGCUUGUAUUCAAAAUGAGACUUAACUGGUGUUUAAAAUAAAAAUGCUGUGUUGACAAA